UUUCAGCAGUUCGGUGCCGCCUAAACCCCUUGAACUGCAGCAUGAUUCGCCUUUGCAAGGCAGAUGUCAGGAGUUCGAAUCUCCUAGGCUCCA
rnacentral:tRNA from 1 species